AGUGAACGCUGGCGGUAGGCCUAACACAUGCAAGUCGAACGGCAGCACAGUAAGAGCUUGCUCUUACGGGUGGCGAGUGGCGGACGGGUGAGGAAUACAUCGGAAUCUACUUUUUCGUGGGGGAUAACGUAGGGAAACUUACGCUAAUACCGCAUACGACCUACGGGUGAAAGCAGGGGAUCUUCGGACCUUGCGCGACUGAAUGAGCCGAUGUCGGAUUAGCUAGUUGGCGGGGUAAAGGCCCACCAAGGCGACGAUCCGUAGCUGGUCUGAGAGGAUGAUCAGCCACACUGGAACUGAGACACGGUCCAGACUCCUACGGGAGGCAGCAGUGGGGAAUCUUGGACAAUGGGCGCAAGCCUGAUCCAGCAAUACCGCGUGGGUGAAGAAGGCCUUCGGGUUGUAAAGCCCUUUUGUUGGGAAAGAAAAGCAGCAGGUUAAUCCCCCGCUGUUCUGACGGUACCCAAAGAAUAAGCACCGGCUAACUUCGUG
rnacentral:rRNA from 1 species